ACAGAGGUCUCAAGCGUUGUUCGGAAUCACUGGGCGUAAAGCGUAUGUAGGCUGUACGGUAAGUCAGAUGUGAAAGCCCAAGGCUCAACCUUGGAACUGCAUCCGAUACUGCCAUACUUGAGUAGUGGAGGGGUAUAUGGAAUUCACGGUGUAGCAGUGAAAUGCGUAGAUAUCGUGAGGAACACUGGCGGCGAAGGCGAUAUACUGGACACUCACUGACGCUGAGAUACGAAGGCUAGGGUAGCGAAAGGG
rnacentral:rRNA from 1 species